ACUCUGGUUACUUGCUGAUAUCCCGAGCUCGACCAAAAAGCUUGUGGAUAUCAGUUCACAGGAGGAGGACGUCCAGGAGGAUGUUUAUGAGACCGUUGACAUUGAGCCUGUCGACGGAGCACGCGAUAUUGACUUUACCGUGAGUCAGCAUUCUCCGGUUAAACCUCCUCCCGCAUACGUACAGAAGUUGGUUCGUACUACACGUGGUCGAAUCGUCCGGAAGGGUCCACUGGUUCGCACCCCGUAUACAAAUCCACUCAGAGGGAGGGCGAAACGGCAACUCACGACGAUUUCAUCCUCUGCGGCAGACCGUGAGGAAUCUUUCCUCACAUGGUAUACCAGAGCUGCGCCUUCUGACACACAUGAUGUGUACUUCAUAGGAUCGAAGACGAAAGACAGCUUCUGGAGGCUUGUUGUAGAGUUACGCGAGUGGUUGACCGACGAUCAUGUGGAUUCCUUUUUGGCUUUAUUACGUCGGCAGCAGGACGAUCACCA